rnacentral:rRNA from 1 species
AGAGUUUGAUCCUGGCUCAGGAUGAACGCUGGCGGUCUGCUUAACACAUGCAAGUCGAACGCAACCUUCGGGUUGAGUGGCGGACGGGUGAGUAACGCGUGAGAAUCUGCCUUAGGGUCGGGGACAACCACUGGAAACGGUGGCUAAUACCGGAUAAGCCGAUUGGUGAAAGAUUUAUUGCCCGAAGAGGAGCUCGCGUCUGAUUAGCUAGUUGGUGAGGUAAGAGCUCACCAAGGCAGCGAUCAGUAGCUGGUCUGAGAGGACGAUCAGCCACACUGGGACUGAGACACGGCCCAGACUCCUACGGGAGGCAGCAGUGGGGAAUUUUCCGCAAUGGGCGAAAGCCUGACGGAGCAAGACCGCGUGAGGGAGGAAGGCUCUUGGGUUGUAAACCUCUUUUCUCAGGGAAGAAGCUCUGACGGUACCUGAGGAAUCAGCCUCGGCUAACUCCGUGCCAGCAGCCGCGGUAAUACGGAGGAGGCAAGCGUUAUCCGGAAUUAUUGGGCGUAAAGCGUCCGCAGGUGGCGAUUCAAGUCUGCUGUCAAAGCACGGGGCUUAACUCCGUUAAGGCAGUGGAAACUGAAUAGCUAGAGUGCCGUAGGGGUAGAGGGAAUUCCCGGUGUAGCGGUGAAAUGCGUAGAGAUCGGGAAGAACAUCGGUGGCGAAAGCGCUCUACUGGAC